rnacentral:rRNA from 1 species
CCUACGGGAGGCAGCAGUGGGGAAUCUUGGGCAAUGGGCGCAAGCCUGACCCAGCAACGCCGCGUGAAGGAAGAAGGCUUUCGGGUUGUAAACUUCUUUUCUGGGGGACGAACAAAUGACGGUACCCCAGGAAUAAGCCACGUCUAACUACGUGCCAGCAGCCGCGUUAAUCCGUAGGUGGCAAGCGUUAUCCUGAUUUAUUGGGUGUAAAGGGCGUGUAGGCGGGAAUGCAAGUCAGAUGUGAAAACUCAGGGCUCAACCCUGAGACUGCAUUUGAAACUGUGUUUCUUGAGUGCUGGAGAGGCAAUCGGAAUUCCGUGUGUAGCGGUGAAAUGCGUAGAUAUACGGAGGAACACCAGUGGCGAAGGCGGAUUGCUGGACAGUAACUGACGCUGAGGCGCGAAAGCGUGGGGAGCAAACAGGAUUAGAUACCCCAGUAGUC